GGACACCAGAACCGUACACAGUACUCCAAGUGAGAGCAGAGUAGAGGGGCAGAAUCACCUCCCUUGACCUUCUGGCCACGCUCCUUUGGAUGCAA